GGAGAGGAAGGUGGCAGCAUUACUAAUCAGAUGUUUGACUGGGAAAUGUAAAGAGAUAGUCAUUACAUGGACAUCUGGAGAAAAAAACAGCACAUGGAAGUAUCAAGUGUUCUGGGGCCGCCUAGGCAGAGGGAAACAAGAGCUAGACUACCUGCUCGUGAUCCCAGGAGGCUAAUGGAACAGUGAUGUAUCGCGGUUCCUGCCUCGUGAAUUUGGAAGCAGGAUUCUGCUCCUAGGAAAAGAUGAGAAUAGAGCUCCAGUCUAUUCUUGCUGCAGUAAUUUGAAAAUUAUGGGACCAUCAAUCUGUUGUGAAUGCUGUCUACAGCAGAUCUUAUCUCUCAGAGUUAUCAAACUGAGCUGCUCCAAAGGUUUGACAUAAAUUACAUGUUAAACGUAUAACAUCUUCUCCUAUGGAUUUCUCCUGGGCAAGAAUGGCAUCUCGGUGCAGGACCCGCAGCACUUUCUCUGGCUCCGCAGACCCGUAAUGAGCCUCCAGAACCUCAGGCUUGGUUUUCUCUGUCUUCAGCAUGUGGAUCACAUCUUCUCUGGCCUGUAAUAGAAAGUGCAGCAAGAUCAGACGACUGACAAUGUAAAUCGCAUACUGGGCUCAAAAAUUCAACAGAGAGCUUAUUGAAUACAUCCCCAUC
rnacentral:antisense_RNA from 1 species